GUGCUCGCUUCAGCAGCACAUACACUAAGAUUGGAAUGAUGAAGAAAAGAUUAGCACCGGCCCCAGUGCAAGGAUAACAUCAAAUUCGUGAAACAGUCCAUAUUUAU